AGGUGAAAAUUUUGUUUUGAAGUUAUAUGGACCCAGAAGAAAAUUCUGUUCAGAACUGUGGGACUAGGUUUGUUACCAGUAAUAUGAAAGGCUCAGAGUUUUGCCUGGAAAAGAAAAAAAAGGUUAAAGUACCAGCGAGGAGACUUCGUGAGAUAGUUUCUCCAAAUCAGGGAGAUAAUUUGGCUUUGCUGAAAGAUGAAUUGUCCCGCGUUCCUCCAGCGUUGUCUGCAAAUAAACGUCUUCCUGUUAGAACUGGGAAGAGCCUGAAUGGAACGUUAUGUGGUUCAUCAGACUUAACUUCUGCCAGAAAUUAUCAGCAGCCUCCAGUAGAAAAUCCUACUGUGUCAGAAAGUGAUUUUUCUAAAGAUGCUGCAGUGCAAGUGUUGCCUUUGAAUAAAAUGGAAGAGAACAACAGACAAAAAGCAAAUGACAUCUUUAUUUCUCAGUACACUGUGGGACAGAAAGAUGCUCUAAGGGCAGUUUUAAAACAAAAAGCUCAAAGCAUGCCUGUUUUUAAGGAGGUGAAGGUACAGCUUUUAGAAGAUGCAGGCACAGAAAAGGACCCUGUUACCCAGGAGAAUAGAAUUUCACCCAGUGGAAUUGAUUCAGCUACAACUGUGGCUGCAGCAACUGCCGCCGCCAUUGCAACAGCAGCUCCACUGAUAAAAGUGCAGAGUGAGUUGGAAGCAAAGGUUAAUUCUGUUACAGAAUUACUCAAUAAGUUACAAGAGACUGAUAAACAGUUACAACGUGUUACUGAGCAUCAGACGACCAUGCAGAAUAAACAGGAGACACUACACUGUCAUGAUCAUGAAAAACAAAUGAAUGUGUUUAUGGAGCAACACAUUCGGCAUCUCGAAAAGCUGCAACAACAGCAAAUUGAUAUUCAGACUCAUUUCAUCAGUGCUGCACUCAAGACUAGUAGUUUUCAGCCUGUUAUUGUACCUCCUUCUAGAGCAGUGGAAAAGUAUUCUGUAAAACCAGACCAUUUGAAUUUUGGUAGCAGUAAUCUGUCUUCACAUAAUGUUUUUUCUUCCAAACAAGCAUGUUCAAGAGAGGUUGAAGAUACAAGUUUUGAUAAACAGAAAUCUCCUUUGGAGACACCAGCACCCCGCAGAUUUGCUCCUGUUCCUGUUUCAAAGGAUGAUAAAAUAUCAAAGAGGGAAAAUCCUAUAGAAGAAAAAGAAAAUAUGAAGCUUUCAUGUCAUACAGGAAGUGUAGGAUUCUUGGAACAAAUUCUGAAUAACCGUGAUUCUUUGACGAGAAUAAGUGAAUCUUCAGACAAAACCUCACUAGCUAGGUCAAAAAUGGGAUGGAAUCCUGAGAGGAGAAACAGAUUUCCUUCCUAUGAAGAACUAGGAACAGCUAAAGUGACUGUGCAGAAGUCUGACGAUAUUCUUCAUGAACUUGAUCAAAAGAGGAAAGAAACAAAUAGUAUACUCCAGUUGAAAGAAUCUCAGAUGUCAGGGCUUGCGGAUCUUCCACAGAAUUCCAUUAAGCUUCAAAUAACAAAUACAAGAUCUGUAUUGAAAGAUGCUGAGAAGAUUUUAAGAGGAGUACAAAAUAAUAAAAAAGUACUUGAAGAAAAUCUGGAAGCUAUAAUUCGUGCAAAGGAUGGAGCUGCCAUGUAUUCAUUUAUCAAUGCUCUGUCCAACAACAGGGAGAUAUCAGAGAAGAUUCGGAUCAAAAAGACUGUAGAUGACUGGAUUAAAACGAUUUCUGCAGAAAUUCAAGAUGAACUGACGAGAAAAGAUUAUGAACAAAAGAGAUUUGAUCAGAAGAAUGAAAGGAACAAGAGAGCUUACAACAUGAAUAAAUAUAUUAAAACCAACACACAAGAUAAAACUGUAAACAGCUCUGUAAUUCCAAGAAAACAUUCUCAAAAACAAAAAGAGGAUCGUCUUCGGAAUCCACCUAUAAGGAGCAUGCCUGCUUCAAGCUUACAGAGAGAGAGAAGAGAAGGAUUUUUGAAAGCAACCACAGUGGUGCAAGACAAGGAUUAUAUGUUACAAAUAUAUGGAAAACCAGUUUAUCAGGGUCACCGCAGCACUCUUAAAAAAGGACCAUAUCUCAGAUUUAAUUCUCCAUCUCCUAAGUCCAGACCACAGAGACCAAAAGUAAUAGAACGAGUUAAAGGCACUAAAGUAAAGUCUAUAAGAACACAAACAGAGUUUUCUGCCACGAAACCUACAAAGGUGGAUUCUAAGUUGCAACAUUCUAUUACUACACUGUCUCCUGGUGAUCAGCAGUAUUUGUUCAGCCCAAGCCGGGAAAUGCCUACUUUUUCAGGUACACUGGAAGGUCAUCUGAUUCCUAUGGCAGUUCUUUUAGGACAAACCCAAAGUAAUAGUGAUUCCAUGCCACCUGCUGGGGUAAUUGUAAAUAAGCCACACCCUGUAACAGUGACAACUUCAAUUCCACCAUCAUCUCGAAAAAUAGAACCUGGAGUAAAGAAACCUAACAUAGCAGUUGUAGAAAUGAAGUCAGAAAAAAGGGAUCCUCCUCAGCUUUCUGUACAGGUAUUACCCAAUGUAGACAUUGACAGCAUCUCUAAUGGUAGUGCUGAGGUCGGUCUGUCUCCUUCUAGUCCCAAAGAAGCAUCUUCUCCUCCUUUGAGAACCUGGAUACAGGAAGAAGAAAAAUGUGAUGAAAUUUCAGAAUACUCUGAACCAAUUCUGGAGUUUAAUAGAAGUGUUAAACCUGUUUCUACAAAAUAUAAUGGCCCUCCAUUUCCGCCAGUUGCUUCUACUUUUCAGCCCACUACUGAUACUCUGGAUAAAGUAAUUCAGAGAAAAGAAACAUUGGAAAAUAGCUUAAUUCAGUGGGUAGAACAAGAAAUAAUGUCAAGAAUGAUCUCUGGGCUCCUUCCAGUCCAACAGCAAGCCACAGCUAACGUCAGUGUCUCAGUCAGUGAGGCCAGUGAGCCAGUGACUUCUGACAUUGUGGAAGGAACAAGCAGUGGUGCCCUCCAGCUUUUUGUCGAUGCUGGGGUUCCUGUGAAUUCAGACAUGAUCAGGCAUUUUGUGAAUGAAGUUCUUGCUGAGACCAUUGCUGUCAUGCUAGGUGACAGAGAAGCAAAGAAACCAGAUCCUGUUGUUACAGGUGUUUCUGGAGAUGUGUCAACAAGUGAAACACACUUGCCGGCAAGAGUGUGUACCCCUUUGGCUACCCCACAGCCAACUCCUCCUCGUUCGCCUUCAUCACCUCCUAAGGAGCACGUGUUGGUAAAAACUCCAGAUUCUUCUCCCAGUGUUUCAGAUCACGAUGUAGCUUUUCCCAUGAAAGAAAUAUUGGCUGAAGAAGGAAAUGAUAUGCCUGCCAUCACACUUGUUAAUACCCCAGCAGUCACCCCAGUGACUACACCUCCCCCCGCAGCUGCUCCUACCCCGACUUUGUCAGAGACUUCAAUUGAUAAGUUGAAGAUGUCAAGCCCAGAGCUUCCCAAGCCAUGGAGUAAUAGAGACCUGCCACUGGAAGAAGAGAAUCCCAACUCUCUUCAAGAAGAGCUUCACCCAAGAGCUAUUGUAAUGUCUGUGGCCAAGGAUGAAGAACCUGAGAGCGAGGACUUCCCUGCUCAGCUUGCUCCUCCAAAGCCAGUUGCCCGUAUGUCACUUCCUGCUGGCAUCAAGGCUCCUUCCCCCAUACAGAUACCAAGUUCAGAUUCCUCCACUCUUGAGAGUACCUUGAGUGUUACUGCCACUGAAACGGAAACCUUAGAUAGACCCAUCUCUGAAGGAGAGAUCUUAUUUAACUGUGGUCUCAAAGUGGCUCCUAAGAUUUUAGGAGAUGAAGGACUAUAUCUGGCAAACCUAAAUGAUAGCUUAUCCAGUACUUUGCAAGAUGCCCUCGAAAUGGAAGAUGAUCCUCCCAGUGAAGGACAAGUGAUUAGGAUGCCCCAUAAAAAAGUUCAUGCCGAUGCAAUUCUUUCUCUUCUUGCUAAACAAAACCCGGAAUCAUUAAUUUCACAGCAAGCCAUAUAUCAUUCAGAGGACUUGGAAAACAGUGUGGGUGAGCUUAGUGAAGGACAGAGGCUGCCAGCAGCAGCAGCAGAGAGUGUCUUCAUGGGACUUUCCGCGCACGUGCAGCUGCCUGUGGCUAGGGCCGAGUCCUCAGAUGCAAAAUGUGCUCUGAAGCCAUCAUCUCAGCAGUGUGACACGGUUGCAGAUGCUGUUUAUGAAGAUUUAUGUGCUAGUCAUGGUCCAAUGAGUUUGGGAGAAUUGGAGCUGCAGCCAGAUCCUCCUGUUACUCUUCCCACGACACUUCUGACAGCACAAGAAAGUGAUGUUAAAUUAUCAGAAGCCACUGAAGACUUUCCUCAGUACCAACAAAAGCAAGACCAAGAUGUUAAGCAAGUUGAACACAAGCCAAUUCAAAGUCGUUUAAUACGUGUAAGAAAUAAAUCUGAUAUUUCACUUUCACAGCAGCAAGCUUCACCAGGUGAUACAGAUCAGACACAAAUUGAGCCCAGUCUGUACCUCACAUCUUUAUUUACAGGUGGUAAAGCGGUUCCACUCUUCACUUCUCAGACAUCACCUGCCAAGAUGUCUGUGACAUUACCCUCAGUGAACCUGGAAGACUGCUCUCAGUCUCUGAGCAUCGGCACUGUCCAGGCGGACACGGAAUCCUCAGGAGCAGAUACCUUCUGA
rnacentral:lncRNA from 1 species